rnacentral:misc_RNA from 1 species
GAUGAAGAACGUAGCGAAACGCGAAAGGUAAUGCGAAUUGCAGAAUCAGUGAGUCAUCGAAUCUUUGAACGCACAUUGCGCCCCUUGGUAUUCCGGGGGGCACGCCUGUUCGAGCGCCAUUACACACCCCAAGCUAGGCUUGAUGUUGGGCGAUGUCUGUCACAGGACACGCCUGGAACGCAUGGGCGCCGCCGCCGGAUCACGAGUGUAGCAAGACGCAAGUCAUCGCUCGGUUGCUCCUGGGGGUCGGCCGCCACGGCACGCGGUAACACGGGGGCCAGUGUAUUCACGAGUUUGGCCUCGAAUCAGGCGGGGAUACCCGCUGAACUUAAGCAUAUCAAUAAGCGGAGGA